AUACUUACCUGUCGGGAGAUACCAUGAUCACGAAGGUGGUUUUCCAGGCCGAGGCUUAUCCAUUGCACUCCGGAUGUGUUGACCCCUGCAAUUUCCCUAAAUGUGGGAACUCGACUGCAUAAUUUGUGGUAGUGGGGGACUGCGUUCGCACUUUCCCCUG
rnacentral:snRNA from 1 species